rnacentral:lncRNA from 1 species
GAAUGAAAAGAAUAACUAUAAUUAGAUCUAAUAAUAUACUAAACUUAGCUGUGAUGGGUAACAAUAGGUCAUUUCUAUUUUAAAUUAUAACUAAAUUACUAUAUUUUGCUAGACUAAAAAAAGAUGCAAGAUAGCUGAAUUCAUUUUAGAUCUCAAUUUUCUUACUUUAUUCUGUGGCAGGUUUUUCAUGUCUAAAAUAUUCUCAAGCAUCCUCUUACUAGAUAUAUCUCAGCCCCAAGUGAAAGUAAAGAACUACUCUGCUGAAGAUUACCUCUUAUAAACUUCUUCAAAGCUACUGAGACAAAUCCUCAGGGCGAGUUUGCAACAGUUAUACUCCCAAUGAUAAUCUUAGCCAUAAUUUCUUCUCAGAAGGAAGAUCUGGUUCAUAUUUUGAACUUUAAUUUAUUUAAGU